UCUACCUUCAGGCUCCUCUUCUUGUUCGUGUCUAACUCUUAGAAGCCAACCAUUUCCUCUCUCAUCUCUCCUCACCUGCAAACCAAAAAGGAAGAAACCCAAAGUUUUGAUUCUAAGCAACAUCACCACGAAGCCCCGCUCUCCUCUCUCUCUCUCUCUGUGUCUCUCUCUGGAAUGGCCGCACGACGCCUUUUCUUUCUUCGACGGUGACGCCGUGAUGGACUGAUGGUGCGUGUCUUCAAGUUUGGGUUUGGCUCGAACUCUACUAGGUGAAGCAGCUUCGAUUUCAGUUUUCGACUCAAUUUCGGAAACUUCAAGCUUGGUGGUGUGGUUGAAGGUUGAAUUAUGCAAGCUGCUGGUGGAUAAAAGAUCUGCUGAACUCAAAAAAUAACAAGUUGCCAGGCCAAAUGACUUCCAUGAUAUUCCCAAAUACUUUCUUGAGGUAAUGCAACGAGGUAGGAUAUGUAAUAAGUUGUUCGUCAUGUGCCAUGGUUGGCUAGUUUGUAUGAUUUGCACAGUGUAUAUGAAAUAUUGAAAUGUCUCAUGUUAUACAACUUAUAUUCAUCAAAAACUCAAGAAGUAUGAUACAAGUGAACUAGAGUCUAUAUCAGAGAAAUAAAGAGCAAGCAGGAACAUACCAUUUGUACUUUUAUAUCACCUGUUUGAACAGUUUGCCGUAAAAUACUUGGACAUUCUUCUGUUAUUAGAAAUACUGUAGCAUUUCAUUACCCAUGCUCAGUUCUCAACUGAUAUGGACCUAACACAAGUCCACAAAAAUAUGGAUUAAGUGCGCUGAAGAAUCAUUUCAAAAAUGUGUCUUACUCAUCUAUCUGACAGUUCAACUUGUGAGAUAUACAUCGCUAUCAUCAUAUCUAAGAAAUGUUAAAUUAUGCAUGUGAAGUUGUCAAGGACCUUCUAGAUAUAAUAGUUGUUUUUAUAACUUGCAUGCAAUUCCACAUGUUGUAGCUAUGGUUAGAGAUGCUGACAAGAAAAGCCCAAGAGAGGCUGUUGAGUCUGUCCUACAACUGUUGAAGGUAAUUACGUUUUAGGUAGUUAUCAUACCUGCAUGAGCAGAGAUAUAUAUGGUUACCAAAAACAGAACUUUCACUUGGCCUAUAUGGUCAUACAAGCCUAUAAUUGGUCUCAAAAAAGUUCUUUCCAAACUUAAUAAGCAAGUAAAAUUUUGUGAACUUAUUCCUUGUCUUGCUUCUGUACUAUGCACGACCUUUCUUUGACAGUAAAACACUCACUUUUCUAUAUAUUAUUUAAUUUCCUCCGCCAUUAAUUUCUAAAGGUUUAUUCUAACUCUGUUUUUUGUUUUGUACGAACAUUACAAUGACAACAAUGGGAACUCUUAUUCUGAUGUGUUCUGGUUUUCUUCAUUAAUUCAGUCUGUCGGAGAACUUGAAUUUGGGCAACAGGUUUGUUUUAUACAAAAUAUCAUUGAUUCAAUUGUGCCUGCCAUACCUUGUCUUGCAGUUCUGUAUGAACAUUAUGUUGCUCUACACACGCACACACAUAUGUGCGGGCGCACGCGUUUUUCUGUAAUUUAUAUUAAAUUCAUUUAAAUGAACACUGGAUGUGCAUGUGUGUGUGUGUGUGUUUCUGUAAUUUAUAUUAAAUUUAUUUAAAUGAACACUGAUUUCACACCCUGGAUAACAGUUGAUAUUACUUUCAAUCCAGUGUCUACGUACUUCGUCAACAUGAAAACUAAAAGGCCCAUUUUGCUUAUAUGCUAUAUUUGUUUGACCGCUUACAGUGUUUUGGUUGUUUCUUCACUCCAUGCAAGGUAAGAGGUGGAUCUGAUUGUGAGGAUGAAGUUCAGAACCAGAUUCUCGUGACCACUAGCAAACGAGUAUCGAUUAAAAAAAAAAAAAAGAAUAGCAAUUUCUAGGUAUAUAUUGAGUCAUUGAUUACCAGAUUUUCACCAUGGGGGGAGCUCGUUCUAGGAAGAGAAACCAUCGAGAUGAUGAAGAUAGUUUUCGUAGAGGGAUUUCCAGAAGGAUACAUUGAAUGAGGAGGAAAAAGGGAGGGGGUUUCUCGGGUACAUUGAUCUAUAAAUCUGGAAGAAGAAGUGGUGGAGAAGAAGACCCAGCAACAACAAUAACCACAACAACAAGGAGGUUACUAGGAACAGCAGCAGAAGAAGAUCAUCGUCCAAAUCCUUUGCUCCUCUGCUCGAGUUGGUCAGUUUGUCGAGGGAGGAAUCCAAGUUCUAAUAAUAACCAAUCUUGGUCGAAAUCUACAAGGGAUUCUAAAAGUGGGCCUUGAAGAAAAUCGAUGUCAAUGCUAUAGGAUAUCGUUACUGUUUUGUUGAACUUCAAGUGUGUUUUGUUGGGUUAAGGAUUAUUCUUUUAUCAUGAGCUGAAAUUGCAGUUCAUUUUCUAAUGUAUACCUUGUAAUGUUUGUAUGCAUUACAUAGAUCAUCUGUAUGCAUUAAUAAGAUUGAUUAUCUAUUCACCGGGUAUUUACAUAGAUCAUCUAAUUGGCCACCUCUAAUUCUUUAUCUAACUUUUUUUAUUUUUUUCUUUGCAAGAACAGAAGUUGGAGAAACUUCAGGAAGAGGAUCUUGUUGAAAGGCUGUUCAAGAAGAAACAGAUCAGGAUCAGGUUUCCUGAAUGGGGAAGAAGUGGGAGAUUUGCUCCAUUUGGAGGUAAGGUGUUGUUUAGCAGAGCAAAUCUCACAAUUGAAAGAGGAGAGAAACUGGCCAUUAUUGGGCCAAAUGGAUGUGGCAAGAGUACUUUGCUGAAACUAAUAAUGGGUUUACAAAAGCCAAUAGCAGGUGAAGUUCUGCUUGGGGAGCAUAAUGUCCUAACAAAAUUUUUUGAGCAAAAUCAGUGGGAGAGGAGAGGCAGCAGCCGACCCAAGCGGAUAUCGAUCAAGUGCGAAAUGAGUGGGGGAAGUUUGUUGUCAACACAUAUGUGCAUGAGCCUUGAAGUAGUGCGCUUGUUGCCGGUACAAUUUUGAUAUGGAAAGCAUCUUUUUUGUGCUUCUCUGCUGGUACAUUAUCAUGCACCAUGUGGCAUGUUUUGGAACAAUA